ACGUUAAACCUUCCCCUAAAGCUGGCAAGGCAUGGCCACUGCCUGGGAUGACUUGGCACGCUGCUCAUUUUCCAGGGAGCCCACAGCCUGCUGAAAUGGAUCACUGGAACAUGACAGGCUAUAUCAAAGGAGUCGGUUGGAUAUGCUGGCGAGUAAAGAACAGAGGGAUCUGACCGAGCCUGCUCAGGAAGGAGAGAUUUCUAGAAGGACGCACUUGAGUGAUGAAUAAGAGUCCACCAGACUGACAAGCUCCCCCGCAGAGGCGCAGAUGCGGGGCUCCCGCGAGAAGGCGGAUGGAGGUGCUUUGUGAGCUCCAGAGUGGAUGCCGGCCGAUGCUCGGCUGCCGGAGGGGUUCUGAGCAGUGGCCGGCAAGGGAAAAUCAGUGACACUGUGCAGUUACUACCUGUUCUACCCGCAUCAGCCUGGAGGGCUUACAAAGCACCAUCCUUCAUCUCGCUGAACCCGGGUCCUCCAAGACAGGCGUUUCCAGCCCCAUUCUACCUCGGAGGGAACUGAGGUCCUCACCAGCAGGAUUAAAUGCACGGCUCUUUCCUUGAAACUUCCUGUGGACCGAUCCGCUGGGCGUGGUGCUCCCUUCUCUGCGCAGCUGGGAAACAGACCCCCGGACAACACAGCGCCGACAAAGCCAUACUCCCUGGAGGUUUGCCCGGCGCCCCUGGGGUGUGGGGACGAGUUCAGCCAACGACCCGAGCUCGCACUGGAGAUUCUGCUUUCAAGCAAGAGGUGCCCCAAGGAGUGAAGAGGGGAAGAGGAUUUGCCAGGUGGAAAAAUUGGGGCGAGUAGGAAAAGCGUGGAUGCAGGAGGGAGCACUGGUAUUGGGGGGCUGUCGGGGGAGAGGCGAGGUCUGAGACUGGCCAACAGGGCCCCGGGCACAGGGCUGGCCCGAUCUGUGCCUGCAGUUAGUGCACAAGGGAAAGAACGAGAAGCCGCAGGAAAGAGCAAGAGGCAGGGGAGUACCAUUGCUAUGGCCCAGGUGAGCGGUGGGGAAGCCUGGAGUGGAGAUGGGGUGACGGCCACCAGCACUUGCCUGAGGAGGAGGCCGAGUGAUGUGACCUUCUGGGACAUCAGUCCAAAAGCAGAGGUGGUGGGGCCGGUGGGGGCUGUCUUUCCUCUCUCCUGGGUUCUUCCUCCAGAGCUGGGCCAGGUGGGCUGGCAUUCCAUGACCUUGAUGUUUUCCCGGUAAAGACGGGCUGGGUGAACGCCCAGAGCCCAGAAGCAGGCUGCCCCGGUGGUGGUUCUCUCUUCGGUGGCUGUGCCCCCAGCACAGCCAGGACAGGUCUCUACCUUGCCGAGGGGUGGCAGCUCUGGCCUCCUCGAACAUCUAGAAGAGGUCCCAUGAGAGUGUGUACAGAAGGCAGUUGACUGCUGCAUGGGACACCUCUUGUAAGGUCAACUGCAGGCUGAGGCUUGGAGCAGCCUGGAACAGCCUGGAACAGCCAUGGCGUUUGCCCAGAUACCUUGGCCCAGGUCCCCUGGCCACAUGGUCCAGAGACAAGGAAGAAGACCAAAAAGGCCAGCUGGGGCAUCCAGGAUGACCAAGUGCCUGAUGUAUGUGAGGCUGAAGACUUCUGUGGGGGGUUGGUCUUUAAUUUAGAAGCCAUUUCAGACUGGCAGAUGGUAGAGGGAUAGAUAGAAAUGUGACAAAGCAAAUACAACAAAAUGUUAAUUGUAGAAUCUAGGUCAUGGGUAUAUGGGUGUUCACUGAACCCUUUUUUCACCGUUUCUGUAUGUUUGAAAUUUUUCAAAAUAAAAUGUUGUGGGGAGAAAGACUUCACCUGCCA